GGCCGGGGUGGCCGCGGUGGUCGGCGGCGUCCGGCUGCUGGCCGGGGCCGACCGCUGGUUCGUCGUCGGCGCCGGUGC
rnacentral:tRNA from 1 species